UGAGUGUGUGUGUGUGUUUGUGCUCUGGAACCUGAGGUCAAAGAUUUAUAAACAGACAAAAAAUAAAGCCUCUUUUAAAAUCUGGAACACAUUUUUCAGUGUGCAUUUUGAUAUACAUAGGAAGGAAUAUU